rfam:Trichobilharzia regenti genome assembly, scaffold: TRE_scaffold0002806
GUACUGCUGAAGAGUCUCAAACUAGAACGAAACAGCUGUCCAGUAC